ACAGAGAUAGCUCAAAUGGUUAGAGCGCACACUUCAGCGUGAGGUUGGGGGUUCGAAUCCCCCUCCUGUU
rnacentral:tRNA from 1 species